rnacentral:rRNA from 1 species
CCUACGGGUGGCAGCAGUGGGGGAUAUUGCACAAUGGGGGAAACCCUGAUGCAGCGACGCCGCGUGGGCGAAGAAGUAUUUCGGUAUGUAAAGCUCUAUCAGCAGGGAAGAAGAACUGACGGUACCUGAGGAAGAAGCACCGGCUAAAUACGUGCCAGCAGCCGCGGUAAUACGGAUGGUGCAAGCGUUAUCCGGAUUUACUGGGUGUAAAGGGAGCGCAGGCGGCACGGCAAGCCUGAUGUGAAAGCCCGCGGCCCAACCGCGGGACUGCAGUGGGAACUGCCGUGCUGGAGUGCGGGGGAGGAAGGCGGAAUUCCUAGUGUAGCGGUGAAAUGCGUAGAUAUGAGGAGGAACCCCAGUGGCGAAGGCGGCCUGCUGGACGGUGACUGACGCUGAGGCUCGAAAGCGUGGGGAGCGAACAGGAUUAGAUACCCGAGUAGUC